AGAGUCCGAGGUUUCAGAGGAGGAGCUGGAAGGGACGUAGAGAGCCUUGUGACGCCAUCACGCGGUCAUGAUAUCACUACGGUGGAGGCUCUAAAGGAAGUUCUAGUCUCCACCACGCAGCUUGCCUUAGGAGCCCUGGGGUUUUCCGUGUGUGCACUGCAUUCAGGGUUGGUCUGGAUCAAAGGGCUCAAUCAUCCCCCAAGAACUGUAAUUCUUACUGUGGAGUGCGAGUCUGCUGAUGAAAACAUUACACAAGAAGGAAGCGAGGCUGUGUGUGCCCUGCACUUCAGCUCCGUCUGUGCCUGCAGAUGAGGAGCCUGCGGGAACAGGAGGGACCUUGUGCACUUCAGAUCUGCCUGGAGCAAGUUCAGGCUGGAGGAAACAGAGUCGUGAGACCUGAGUACUUGUGGUCAUAGGCGCCAAUGGGCUUGCCAUCCAACAACACGCGGCCGCCCUGCAGAGGGUAGAAGUUCUCUAGGAUGUUCACACAUGAGCUCUUCCCGCUGCCCGACGGCCCCACCAGAGCUGUCACCUUGCCGGGGGACAGGCUGAAGGAGACAUUCUGCAGGGACACAAGAUGUUCCAGUCUCAGAGGCAGGAGGACAGCCCCCUGUCUGCCCUGUGCGGUGCUGCUGGCCUCUGAACGGUCUUCCUAAGAUACCAGGA
rnacentral:lncRNA from 1 species